rnacentral:antisense_RNA from 1 species
CUUGACCGAGCCCAGCCACAGGGGGCGGGCCGGGUCCCGGUCCCUGCCGUAGGUGGCGAGCAGGGCGCGGGCCUC